UACGUAGGGGGCAAGCGUUGUCCGGAUUUAUUGGGCGUAAAGAGCGUGUAGGCGGCCAAGUAGGUCCGUUGUGAAAACUCGAGGCUCAACCUCGAGACGCCGAUGGAAACCAUUUGGCUAGAGUCCGGAAGAGGAGAGUGGAAUUCCUGGUGUAGCGGUGGAAAUGCGCAGAUAUCAGGAAGAACACCCGUGGCUAAGGCGGCUCUCUAGUACGGUACUGACGCUGAGACGCGAAAGCGUGGGGAGCGAAACAGGG
rnacentral:rRNA from 1 species